GGACGAACCCUUGGAGAGAUCCAAUCGCUCAUUUUAAUCAAAACAUAGAGCGAAAAUGGACGCCGAAGGCGCAAAUUCAUGGCUUUGAAUGAAACGCUCAGGCAAAAGGACAGGGGAGAAAAG
rfam:Haemophilus sputorum HK 2154 ctg120006325143, whole genome shotgun sequence.